AUGACUGAGUGUCCAGCCCACCUUUAUCUUACACACAAGGAUGCGUGGUGGAGAGUUGAAUGCUUCGACGACAACCACAACCACCCACUGAUCAGAAAGCCUUCCCUGACAAAAUUUCUAGCAUCACAUUGGAACAUUCUCAAAGACGAGAAGGACUUCUUAUGGAUUCUGCACGAAUGCAACAUAUAGACCGCGAGGCAAAUGCAACUAGUUUCAUGGUUCUAUGGUGCUGCUGAGAAUGUACCAUACACAACGCAGGACCUUGCGAAUCAACGAGCCAAAUUUCGUAAGGAGUACCGUAAUGCGGACGUGGGGAGCACGAUUACAUACUUUGAGGAGCUGAGGGCAAACGAUCCAGAUUUCUAUUAGAGAAUGAAACUUGAUGACAAAGACAGGGUGGAAAACGUGUUCUGGAUAGAUGGUUGUGGUUUCAUUCGAAACAAACCGACUAACAACUUUGUGUGGUUGUUUAACACAUUAUUGCAUGCGAUGGGUGGGGUUGCGCCAAAGAACAUAAUCAUAGAUCAGGACUUUGCCAUGAGGAAUGCUAUUGAUGAGGUGUUCAUCAGGAUAGUACACAGAAAUUGCAGAUGGCACAUUAUGAAGAAAGCACAGGAGAAGCUUGGGAGGCUAAUGGCUGAUGAUCAACCACUGAACAAAGCAUUCAAAGAUUACUUCUUCCCGUUCUUGCAGACCACGACAAGGAGCGAGGGAUUCAACGUUGUGUUGAAGAAGUACGUCAACCCAAAUAACUCACUGGUUGAAUUUGCAAAACAGUACACUGUGGUCCAGGAGAAGGUGAUGGUGAGCGUGGCAAAAGAGCAAUUGGAAAUAGUGUACAAAGAGGUGGAAACAUACUCGUUCAACCCACUCGAGUUACAGGUGUGGGGCCUCUACACGGAUAAUCUUUUCUCCAAAUUCCAGAUGGAGAUGAAGGUGAAAACUGACUACAGAUGUGACACAUUGCAAAAUGUGUCAUUCAAGGUCGGCUCAGUCAGAGGAAUCAUACCAAAAUAUGGGGAGAGGGAUUACCAUGUGCAAGCAAACAAGGAUUAA
rnacentral:rRNA from 1 species